rnacentral:rRNA from 1 species
UCAGGUGGCCAAAGCGACGGUGUUCCACCUCUUCCCACCCCGAACAGAGAAGUUAAGCCCGUCUACGCCGAUGGUACUGCCGAUUAGGUGGGAGAGUAGGUAGCUGCCUAUUU